rnacentral:misc_RNA from 1 species
GAAAUGCGAUAAGUAAUGUGAAUUGCAGAAUUCAGUGAAUCAUCGAAUCUUUGAACGCACCUUGCGCUCCUUGGUAUUCCGAGGAGCAUGCCUGUUUGAGUGUCAUGGAAUUCUCAACUCUAUUUGCUUUUGUGAAUAGAGCUUGGAUUUGGAGGUUUAUUGCUGGUACUUGUGAUCGGCUCCUCUUGAAUGCAUUAGCUCGAACCUUUGCGGAUCAGCUAUCGGUGUGAUAAUUGUCUACGCCGUUGCAGUGAAGCAUAUCAAUGGGCUCGGCUUCCAAUCGUCCUUUACUGGACAAUGACUUUGACCUUUGACCUCAAAUCAGGUAGGAUUACCCGCUGAACUUCAGA